GUCACCCAGAGCACAUCCCACAGGAACGUGUCCAGGAGGAAAGAGUAAUAUUAGGAAAUGGCAGAAGCAGUUUUCCAUCCCCCGAGAAGGAAAAGAAGAGUUUUUGAGUCCUAUGUGUCUCCUUUCCCUGUGGAUGUAGGUGGGAAGGAUUUCAGAAUAUGCCAGGCUGAAAUCCUUAACAACAACGUUCUUGUGAGGAACCCUGAAGAUAUUGAGCAGCUUUAUAACAAGGGCUAUUUUGGAAAAGGCAUCCUUUCCAGAAGUCGACCAGUGUACAGCAUUUCAGAUCCUUCACUGGUUGCUAAGUGGCAAGGUGCUAACAUAAACAUGCCUAUAAUAUCGUCCAAAAAGUACCAGUAUCACGUCCAGUGGGCUAAAAGUAUUUUGCAGGAGCAAGGAUUUGAUGACUGCUCGGUCACCAAAAUUCUAGAAAACUACACUAAACCUCUUGAGCUGCCAGUUUUGGAAGAGGAAGGAGCUGAACAAACCAGUAAUAGUUGCAACAGAAUGAGCCAAAAUGCAGAAAAUACAAAACUUCCCAGUCAGUCUUCUACAGAGGCUGGAAAUGGAGCAGCCCAACGUCCUGAGAAUGAGGAGGAGGGCUACCAGAAGGCCUGUUUGGAAGGAGAUUCAGUGGCCAAAAGUGGCUCUAAAGAAGAGGACCAGGGGGAGGUGCAAGAGGGUGGUGCAGUGGCUGGUGAGAAGCAAGGCUUUCUGGUUCCUGGCAGCUGCAGGGCUGAGGGGGGCGCUGGGCAAAGAUGGUGUGACACCAUCAAGGCACAAGAGUGUGCUCCAGAAUACGUGUUGGUGCAAGAGGAGGAAGAAGGUACCUUGUGUCCUGAAGAAGACUCUGCCCCUGGAGAAGAAAAUCUUGCCAAGAAGGAAAAGCUAGUGUGCCGAAAAAAUCCAUUUAGGAUUUUUGAAUAUUUACAACUCAGCUUGGAAGAGGCUUUUUUCUUGGUGUAUGCUCUGGGAUGUUUAAGUAUUCAUUAUGGUGAGGAGCCCCUCACGAUUGUGAAGCUCUGGGAGUUUUUCAGUGAAGUGAAGCCCAACUUCAAGACCACUUACAUGGCCUAUCACUACUUCCGCAGCAAGGGCUGGGUCCCCAAGGUGGGGCUGAAGUAUGGAUCUGACCUCUUGCUGUAUCGAAAAGGCCCCCCCUUCUAUCAUGCAAGUUACUCUGUCCUUGCUGAAAUGGUUGAUGACAAUUUUGAAGGUUCUCUUCGCAGACCACUCAACUGGAAGUCCUUGUCUGGCUUGAACAGAACAACUGCUAGUGCUUCUAAGGAACUUAUGUUUUGCUAUUUGAUUAGACCCUCUGACAUGACGGAAGAAGAGAUGUCAACACCAGAAUGUAUGAAAAGAAUUAAGGUUCAGGAACUGAUUGUGAGCCGUUGGGUUUCUUCCCGGGAGCGCAGUGAGCAAGAUGACUUCUAACUGACUGUGUAAGAAGAACUGAAGUUUUUUACAAACCACAUCUUGUUUUUCACCUGAUUUUCUCAUGAUGAACCAUUGCCUCAGAACGGUUUCUGUCAGCAUCUUCAGUUGAGAAGUCAUCUGGAUGUUGGAUCUGGGCAAGAAUCCCAUCAGUGUGGUCAGCCUCUAAAGGCAGAUACACCCAAAGCUGUUGAAACCUGGAAGAAAUCACUACAGAUUGCACCU